rnacentral:rRNA from 1 species
GACGAACGCUGGCGGCGUGCUUAACACAUGCAAGUCGAACGGAAAGGCCCUGCUUUUGUGGGGUGCUCGAGUGGCGAACGGGUGAGUAACACGUGAGUAACCUGCCCUUGACUUUGGGAUAACUUCAGGAAACUGGGGCUAAUACCGGAUAGGAGCUCCUGCUGCAUGGUGGGGGUUGGAAAGUUUCGGCGGUUGGGGAUGGACUCGCGGCUUAUCAGCUUGUUGGUGGGGUAGUGGCUUACCAAGGCUUUGACCGGUAGCCGGCCUGAGAGGGUGACCGGCCACAUUGGGACUGAGAUACGGCCCAGACUCCUACGGGAGGCAGCAGUGGGGAAUAUUGCACAAUGGGCGGAAGCCUGAUGCAGCAACGCCGCGUGCGGGAUGACGGCCUUCGGGUUGCAAACCGCUUUCGCCUGUGACGAAGCGUGAGUGACGGUAAUGGGUAAAGAAGCACCGGCUAACUACGUG